rnacentral:rRNA from 1 species
UACGGAGGGUGCUAGCGUUGUUCGGAAUCACUGGGCGUAAAGGGCGUGUAGGCGGUCUGUUAAGUCUGAUGUGAAAGUCCGGGGCUCAACUCCGGAUCUGCGGUGGGUACGGGCAGACUAGAGUGAUGUAGGGGAGACUGGAAUUCCUGGUGUAGCGGUGAAAUGCGCAGAUAUCGGGAGGAACACCGGUGGCGAAGGCGGCCUUCUGGACGGAUACUGACGCUGAGACGCGAAAGCGUGGGGAGCAAACAGG